CCUACGGGAGGCAGCAGUGGGGAAUUUUGGACAAUGGGCGAAAGCCUGAUCCAGCAAUGCCGCGUGUGUGAAGAAGGCCUUCGGGUUGUAAAGCACUUUUGUCCGGAAAGAAAUCCCUGGCUCUAAUACAGUCGGGGGAUGACGGUACCGGAAGAAUAAGCACCGGCUAACUACGUGCCAGCAGCCGCGGUAAU
rnacentral:rRNA from 1 species